AGUGAAUAGAUACCCCGGUAGUCCUAGCCGUAAACGAUACUCGCUAGGUGUCGGCCACGGUGCGACCGUUGUCGGUGCCGUAGGGAAAGCCGUGAAGCGAGCCACCUGGGAAGUACGGCCGCAAGGCUGAAACUUAAAGGAAUUGGCGGGGGAGCACCACAACGGGUGGAGCUUGCGGUUUAAUUGGAUUCAACGCCGGAAAUCUUACCGGGACCGACAGCGAUAUGAAGGCCAGGCUGAAGACUUUGCCGGAUUAGCUGAGAGGUGGUGCAUGGUCGUCGUCAGUUCGUACUGUGAAAGCAUCCUGUUAAGUCAGGCAACGAGCGAGACCCACGCCCACAGUUGCCAGCGUACUCUCCGGAGUGACGGGUACACUGUGGGGACCGCCGCUGCUAAAGCGGAGGAAGGAAUGGGCAACGGUAGGUCAGUAUGCCCCGAAUAUCCCGGGCUACACGCGAGCUACAAUGGUUGGAACAAU
rnacentral:rRNA from 1 species